rnacentral:rRNA from 1 species
GAUGAACGCUGGCGGCGUGCCUAAUACAUGCAAGUCGAGCGAACGGACGAGAAGCUUGCUUCUCUGAUGUUAGCGGCGGACGGGUGAGUAACACGUGGAUAACCUACCUAUAAGACUGGGAUAACUUCGGGAAACCGUAGCUAAUACCGGAUAAUAUUUUGAACCGCAUGGUUCAAAAGUGAAAGACGGUCUUGCUGUCACUUAUAGAUGGAUCCGCGCUGCAUUAGCUAGUUGGUAAGGUAACGGCUUACCAAGGCAACGAUGCAUAGCCGACCUGGGAGGGUGAGCGGCCACACUGGCACUGAGACACGGUCCAGACUCCUACGGGAGGCAGCAGUAGGGAAUCUUCAGCAAUGGGCGAAAGCCUGACGGAGCAACGCCGCGUGAGUGAUGAAGGUCUUCGGAUCGUAAAACUCUGUUAUUAGGGAAGAACAUAUGUGUAAGUAACUGUGCACAUCUUGACGGUACCUAAUCAGAAAGCCACGGCUAACUACGUG